rnacentral:lncRNA from 1 species
CUACAAUAUAUAUAGUUAGCAUGAUUUGCCACUUGACUGUAAUUUCUAGCUCACUCAGAUAUUACAACCUAGCUAUUUAAAAUUACAUUUUGUAUCUUUUACAAGCAUUUCCUAAAUUUCAACAUCUGAGCUGUGUCUGAUAGCAAUCGACCUUAUGCUAAUAUGAAUGCAUUUGUAAACUUAUUUCGGGUUGAGAAAAACUCUAUGCAAAGUUUUAUACUGUUUUGAAAAUUUAGUUGAACCCCACAAAACAGACCAAAACUAAUCUUUUAUUACAUAUUUGAAUGUUCAAAAUCAAUCAAAGUCUUAUUCAUGUAUAUAUAUAUAUAUAUGUGCACUUGUAUAAGGUUGAUUUGUAUCUGACGCAGCUCAUUUUAUAAAAUGUCUGAAAAUUUUAUUCAUUUUAUAGUAUGCUUGUGGAAAUUGAGGCAUUUUAUAAAUUAAUUUUUUU